GUUGGUUUCACGUUUGUGGGGUUUUGUGUUUUUGCUGUGUUUGAAGAGAUCUCUAUCAGAUCAGAAGCUUAAAGGGUCAUAAAAGAUAACCUCGUGAUGGGGAGAGACGUUACAGGUUUACGUUCUGAUAAGAAACCUACUGUUAAGCCAAAUGGUGUCACCCAUGGUGCAGUCCAUGUUGCCCCCAGAAUUGCCAAGGAAAGGGUUGAAGCAAAGGAGUUUGAGGCAGAGGAUCACACUGCAAAUGGCACACAUGUGGAGGAAGCCCAUGAGAAGCAGGAUGUACUAUCUGUGAAAAGCACUAACUGUGAACCUGGCCCGAUUGAGGGAAAAAUUACGAAGACUGAGGCUGUGAAGUCCAGUGACAAGAAGUUGGGCUCACCAAUGAAACCUUCAUCUGAUUCUACUGCAGCAACUGAAAGUCCAGCCCCCCCAGUUAUGAAUUCAUCAGGGAAUGAAUCUGAAAAUCAUGAAAACACUCAGACUGUUGAUGCUGGCUCGAAUUGUUCAUCAAAGUCCAUCGAUCUGCAGUCUCCUAUGACUUCACAAAAAUUGCAUCAAAAUUCUCCCAUGAUGACAAGGAAGUUGCGGAUGCAGGAUGAAGAUGAUAAUUGGUCUUUGGCUUCCUCAACUGCAGCUUCUGUGCGGACAAUUAGGUCCAAGGUUACUGUUCCUGUAGCUCCAACAUUUAAAUGUUCUGAACGCUCAGCGAGACGUAAAGAGUAUUACACAAAGUUAGAGGAAAAGCACAAAGCUCUGGAGGCGGAGAAACAAGAAUAUGCAGCCAGAACAAAGGAAGAGGAAGAGGCAGCAAUUAAACAGCUUAGAAAGGCCAUGUCCUACAGAGCAAAUCCAGUUCCUAAUUUUUACCGUGAAGGGCCACCUCCAAAGGCUGAACUUAAGAAGCUACCAGUCACUCGUGCCAAAUCACCAAAUCUAACCCGUAGAAAGAGCUGUAGUGAUGCAGUCGGAGCAUCUCCUGAAGAAAAGAAAGCUUCUGCUAGGGGUCGUCACAGCAUUGGUGUUUACAAACAAGGCAGUCCUACCCCACCCACCCCCAAAAGCAAAGAUCGUGUGAGUGGUCGAAUCAGUAAUGGAACUCCUAGAGUCAAAGAACCUACAAAGUUGGUGAAAGCAAAAAAGGAAUCCUCUUUGAAGGAGAUGAAGGAAACACCAAUUAAGGAGAUAAAGGAAACUCCAAUUAAGGAGAUAAUAAAGGAAGCUCCAAUAGCAGAGUCAAAUGGAACUCCAAUGAAAGAGACAGAUGAAGCUCUGGUUAAGGUGACAAACGUUGCUUCUGUCAAGGAGAUAAAGGAAAUUCCCGUCUUAGAGAUGAAGGAGUCUUCUGAUACAAUGACAGAGCAAGUGUCUGAAGAAACUGCUGCUCAAUCAUGAGCAUUGAGCAAUUAGUCUUCUUUUUCAUUUCCUUUUUCUUUUUCUUUGUAGUUUAUCAUCGAAUCGAGAUGUUCCAGGCAAGGUCAAAUUGGCCUUUGUCCUUUCUUCUCGGCAAUGACUUGUUGAAGUGAUGCUUUGAAACUGUGUUGUAUAUUAUAUGUAAUUUUCAUUUGGUACAUAUG
rnacentral:misc_RNA from 1 species